AGAAGUGAGAAUGCCGGUAUGAGUAGCGAAAGAAGGGUGAGAAUCCCUUCCACCGAAUAUCUAAGGUUUCCUGAGGAAGGCUCGUCCGCUCAGGGUUAGUCGGGACCUAAGCCGAGGCCGAUAGGCGUAGGCGAUGGACAACAGGUAGAGAUUCCUGUACCAGUGCUAAUUGUUUAACCGAUGGGGUGACACAGAAGGAUAGGGAAUCGCACGAAUGGAAAUGUGCGUCCAAGCAGUGAGUGUGAGAAGUAGGCAAAUCCGCUUCUCGCGAAGCAUGAGCUGUGAUGGGGAAGGAAAUUAAGUACGGAAGUUCCUGAUUUCACGCUGUCAAGAAAAGCCUCUAGGAAGAGUAGUACUGCCCGUACCGCAAACCGACACAGGUAGAUGAGGAGAGAAUCCUAAGGUGAGCGAGAGAACUCUCGUUAAGGAACUCGGCAAAAUGACCCCGUAACUUCGGGAGAAGGGGUGCUCUAUUAGGGUGCAAGCCCGAGAGAGCCGCAGUGAAUAGGCCCAGGCGACUGUUUAGCAAAAACACAGGUCUCUGCAAAACCGUAAGGUGACGUAUAGGGGCUGACGCCUGCCCGGUGCUGGAAGGUUAAGAGGAGUGCUUAGCUUCGGCGAAGGUACGAAUUGAAGCCCCAGUAAACGGCGGCCGUAACUAUAACGGUCCUAAGGUAGCGAAAUUCCUUGUCGGGUAAGUUCCGACCCGAACGAAAGGCGCAACGAUCUGGGCACUGUCUCAACGAGAGACUCGGUGAAAUUAUAGUACCUGUGAAGAUGCAGGUUACCCGCGACAGGACGGAAAGACCCCGUGGAGCUUUACUGCAACCUGAUAUGGAAUGUUUGUACCGCUUGUACAGGAUAGGUAGG
rnacentral:rRNA from 1 species